AUGGCUCGGCUCGCCGCCCUCCUCCUCGCCUUCGCCGUCGCCGUCUCCGCCACCGCGCUGGCCCAUGGCCGCGACCUCCCGACUCAGAUCAAGCUGACCAAGGGCGGCGCCGUGGUGGGCGGCGACAGCCAGGAGUGCGUGUACACGGUGUAUGUGCGGACGGGGGCGAUCUGGAAGGCCGGGACGGACGCCAACAUCACGCUGGAGCUCUACACCGCGGGCAACGCCGACGGCGCGCACCACGGCUGGUACUGCAACUACGUGGAGGUCACCGUCACCGGCCCGCACCGCGGCUGCGCCCAGCAGCUCUUCACCGUCGAGCAGUGGCUCGCCACCGACGCCGCGCCCUACAAGCUGGAGGCCGUCGUCGACCGCUGCCCAGCCGAUGGCGCCGCCGAUGCGUAA
rnacentral:rRNA from 1 species